ensembl:lncRNA
AAUACUGGUAGCCAGAAGACUAUUGUUAGUACAUUCAUGCAUUUUUGCCCCCUUCUAUUGAGUUUUAUGUUUACCAAGGAUCAGCUACAUGUGGUUCCAAAUCUGUUUAUGCCUGUUAUGUUUGUCAUAGAUAUUACAUAGUUUAUUUAGUGGUAUGAAAGCCAAAGAAAUAUGAGUGUGAAAAGGAAGAGAAUUGUUUCGAUAAGACCUAAACUAAAUGCUUUGGAGAGAAUCUAUUCGGUGUGUGUGUGGGGAGCUGUGUAAUGUAAGAAGACAUUGCAGAAUAUUAAAAAAAUACUCAUAAAUAUCUAGAAAAGUUGAUUUUUAUGUUUAUUCACAGCUGAACUUAUUUUCAAAUUCCACUUUAAAGAAAUUGAAAUUGGAGAUCAAAGAUUAUGCUUUAUGCAAAAAGGAAGUAACACCAGUGACUUUAAGAAAAUAUUCUACAACAAGUGAUUGAUAAAUGAGUACACAAAUUAAUGGUUGAAGGAAAAGUAAAUUAUUUAGGCAUGCAUAUAUAAUAUCCUGUCUUUCCUCACUUUAACUCCUUUUUUGGUUAACAUAGCAAUUACAAUAUCCUGUGUCCAAUUAGAGGAUAUUUACACUGGUUUGUCAUAUUGAGGUCAGGGCCAGGCUAAAGUUUCUAAGUUUCCUUUGUUCUCUGGACAUUAACAGGGUAUACUGUAUGAAUAAAUAGUGUGAAUAAGAUCCUGAAGAGCAUUUUUUUUAGGCUUUUGAGAUGUAAAUAUUUAUUUCAAACCUAAUUAUGUAUUAUAGGGUAGUAGUACUACUUUUUGGGUUUGAGUCCUGCCUCUUAUUUUUACUAAUUACUUUAUGUCUUCAAGGCAUGGUUUCUACCACAGACAUUACAAUAAUAUACUAACUCACUGGGUUAAGAAGGUUAACUCUGUUCAUAUACAUAAAGCACAGUAUCUGGCAUGUAGUAGGAACUAAAAAUGUGAUAUUUAUUAUCCCUUAAAGUAGGUUUCAAGUGCUUCUAAUUACCAGUUGAUUUUUAAUGUAAUAACAAGCUCUGGAAGUUAUUGUAUAAAAAUGAUUAAACUUUAUGCACCUUUUUGGUGGGGAGCUAAGGCAAAUUUGAGAAACAACAGGAUGGCUGGGGCUGUGCAAUUUGUUUGCGUAGAGGCCAGAGGUCAAAACCAAACAGCAAGUUAGAACCUCCAGUUAGGAGUCAGUGAUCAAGCUCAAACAGAUAUCAGUAUUUGUAGCAGAUGCUUCCAAGUGAAGUGUUCCUUCUGUGUAAUGCACUUUUGCUGCAAGUGAUGAGCUAUGUUCCAGGGUUACUGCUGCAGGAAUGAGUGAUGUUUGCUUCCUAUCUCUUACUCUCAACAAAUCAGCUAGAAUGUGCCUUUUGAAGCCUAAAUGAGAUUGCAUCACUCCUGUGCUUAAUAACACACAAUACCUGCUCAUUUCACUAAGAGUAAAAGCCAGAGUUCUUACAGCAAAUGGCCUGCAAGGCUCUAUGAUGAUCUGAGCCCUCAAUUAUUCCACCGUUCUCAUCUCUGAUUAUUCUUCUCAUUCACUCCUCAAGCUACUCUGACCUUCCUAUUAUUCUUUUUAAAAAGUCUGGCACUUUCCUGUCCCCUGACUUUUGUUUUUCCCUCCACUGGCAAUGCUUUAUUAACCCUAGCAGCUGGCUCCACUCCCUCACUUCCUUCAGGUCUUUGCUCAAGUCUUACUUUCCCUGUGAGACCUUGACCACCUGUCAUCUCCCCACACUCUCCUUUCCCCUGCUUACUUUCUUUUUUAUAUUAUAUGACAUAUUUAUUCAUCACAUGCAUUUUUUCCUUCUGUUUCUCUGCAAGAAUGUAAGUUCUGUGAGGGCAGGGAUCUUUAUAUAGUUUUGUUUACUUAUGUAUCCGAAAUGCCUAUAGAAUAGUGCUUGGCACAUCAUCUGAGCUCAUUAAAUAUUGGUUCAGUGAAUGAAUGAACAAAUGAGUGGAAGAGCCAGGACUGGCUAGAAUUUAGUAUUCUUUGUCAAGGGCAAAGCAAAUGGCAAAAUUAUCAGUCUCUGGGGAUUUACUGAGGAAAUCAAAGAUCUUUGUAGAUUGGACUGGCUCUCUGACUUCAGCCACAGUUUGGAAAUCUCCCUUUUCCCUAACUCACACUGCUUUCUUGAUUUUAUUGCCUUAAAUUCAGGUUUACUCAAGCAUUGAGAGUCCAGGAACUGUGGCUAAGACCCAGAUGAUCAAGAUAAUAAACACAUCUUUGCUUCAAUUUUGUGAUAUAUGGAAAAAGUCCUUUUUCUCCUUUGCUUAAUUACUUGUCUCUAGUUUGGUUUAAUGAUUACCUAAUAAUUUGGAAGUUAUAACCUUUGUUACUAACAGUUGCAGUUUCUGACCCUCUUAUACUGUAUCCAUUUUUGGUAUUGAGGGUUUAUAAAUUCCCUUUCUUCUCUUUUUACUUAAUUGCAGCUUAAAUGCUUCCAGUUUCCAUGGCUUUCUUUCUGUAUAAAAUAAUAAUUAUAUCACAAUAAUAAUUAUACUGUAAUAAGAAUUAUAAAAUUAUUUUGAUCUAUUCAGUAGGUAGCUGCCAAGUUUUGAUUUGGGAGCUUCAGAUAUAUUUUCACUAAUCUUCAUACCAACCUUGCAGGGGGCAGUUUUGAACUUUGCAGAUUUACAUUAUGCUUCUCAGCAUGUAUGUUUUCUUCUGAUUGGCCCCUUCAGGAUCACUAGAAGCCCAAAGUUACAGCUUCCUGGAGCCCACUACAGAUGAGGGAGUUCCCGUUGUGGUGCAGAGGAAACAAAUUCCACUAGGAACCAUGAGGUUGAGGGUUUGAUCCCUGGCCUCGCUCAUUGGGUUAAGAAUCCAGCAUUGCUGUGAGCUGUGGUGUAGGUCACAGAUAUGGCUUGGAUCUGGCAUUGCUGUGGCUGUGGUUGUGGUGUAGGCUAGCAGCUGUAGCUCCGAUUUGAUCUCUAGCAUGGGAACCUCCAUAUGCUGCAGGUGCGGCCCUAAAAAAAUAGAGUACACUGAGGAGUUCCCUUGUGGCUCAGUGGUAAUGAACCCAACUAGGGUUCAUGAGGAUGCAGUUUUAAUCCCUGGCCUUGCUUGGCAGUUUAGGGAUUUGGCGUUGCCAUGAGCUGUGGUGUAGGUAAUGAAUGGGGCUCGGAUCCCCCCUUGCUGUGGCUGUGGUGUAGACUGGCAGGUGCAGCCCUGAUUCAACCCCUAGCCUGAGAACUUCCAUAUG